CCGCGCCCGGCGCCAGCGAGCUCCGGAGAGCUGGCGGGCUCGAGAAGCCAUUCCACAUGAAUACUCCCAGAUCUGCCUAACUGAGAGAUAACACCAAGAUGACACCUAUCUGAUGACUGAUCUGCUUCUCCUCUGCCGGUGGAAAUAACGGAAGGGAGGAAGCGUGCGGCUUAUUCCUGUCCUCUCAGGAGGCAGAAGGGGAUCCCUUUGUGCAAUCC